rnacentral:rRNA from 1 species
AUUGAACGCUGGCGGCAGGCCUAACACAUGCAAGUCGAGCGGAGCGGCGGACGGGUGAGUAAUGCCUAGGAAUCUGCCUGGUAGUGGGGGAUAACGUCCGGAAACGUGCGCUAAUACCGCAUAGUAUCAGCUGUGCCUUGGUCGGAUUAGCUUGUUGGUGGGGGAAAGGACUACCAAGGCGACGAUCCGUAACUGGUCUGCGAGGGUGAUCAGUCACACUGGAACUGAGACACGGUCCAGACUCCUACGGGAGGCAGCAGUGGGGAAUAUUGGACAAUGGGCGAAAGCCUGAUCCAGCCAUGCCGCGUGUGUGAAGAAGGUCUUCGGAUUGUAAAGCACUUUAAGUUGGGAGGCGUUACCAACAGAAUAAGCACCGGCUAACUUCGUGCCAGCCGCCGCGGUAAUUC